GGUUGGAGGGUGGAAUCAAGACCCAGAGGAGAGGGAUCUUGGGUCCCACAUCUCCUUUUCUGGUCCCCAG
rnacentral:miRNA from 1 species